CACAAAUCAGUGAGUGGCAACGAUCAGAAAAACAGUGGUGACUUUUGUACCAAAGCUUUUAUACAUGUGUUAAUAGUGUAAAUGGGAGUAUUCUUGUAAAUCAAAACAUUUUCAGAAGUACAUCUCAAGGCGGCAGCAAAUAAAAAAAAACCAUUUACCCAAUAUAAAAUGGAUGAACUUCACAUGGCCGAUAUUUUAGAAGAACUGGAAGAUGCUGAAGAAGAUAAUGCAAUUGUUCCAGCUUUACGGGUUACAAUUGAUCCGUUGGAGACAUUACCGGAAAAUCAAUUUGUUAAAAUCUUUAGGGUGUCAAAAAUUUUAUUUAGAUUUAUUGUGGGGUUACUUGCUCCAUUUAUGCGUCCUCAAAAUCGUGGUACAGAUUUGGCUAUAAACACGCGUGUAACUAAAAAUUUUAACUAUUUACAACAUCUAAGAAUAUAAUCUAAAUUCAUAUGAAAUCAGUAUAAAUAUGGUACUAUUAUUUUAGGUGUUGGCUGCUUUACGGUUUUAUGCCGGAGGGAGUUAUCAAACGGAUAUUGGUGU